GGAAGGAUCAUUAAAAGGUUUAUCUAGGGGUGGGUGAAACCCCCCUAGGAAACUCCACCCUUGUGUAUUAUUACUUGUUGCUUUGGUGGGCCGCGAGAUUGCCUAGCGAUUGAGCACCGGCUUCGGCUGGAGAGCGCCUGCCAGAGGACCAAACUCUGUUAUUUUAUGUCGUCUGAGUACUAUUUAAUAGUUAAAACUUUCAACAACGGAUCUCUUGGUUCUGGCAUCGAUGAAGAACGCAGCGAAAUGCGAUAAGUAAUGUGAAUUGCAGAAUUCAGUGAAUCAUCGAAUCUUUGAACGCACAUUGCGCCCCUUGGUAUUCCGAGGGGCAUGCCUGUUCGAGCGUCAUUAUAACCAAUCACGCCCUGUGCGUGGACUUGGGGUUCGCGGUCUCGCGUCCCUUAAAGUUAGUGGCGGUGCUGUUAGGCUCUAAGCGUAGUAAUUCUUCUCGCUAUAGGGUCUUGCGGUUACUUGCCAUAACCCCAACUUUCUUAGGUUGACCUCGGAUCAGGUAGGGAUACCCGCUGAACUUAAGCAUAUCAAUAAGCGGAGGAAAAGAAACCAACAGGGAUUACCUCAGUAACGGCGAGUGAAGCGGUAACAGCUCAAAUUUGAAAUCUGGCUCUCUCAGGGUCCGAGUUGUAAUUUGUAGAAGAUGCUUUGGGUGUGGCUCCGGUCUAAGUUCCUUGGAACAGGACGUCAUAGAGGGUGAGAAUCCCGUAUGUGACUGGUGGCCUUCGCCCGUGUAAAGCUCUUUCGACGAGUCGAGUUGUUUGGGAAUGCAGCUCAAAAUGGGUGGUAUAUUUCAUCUAAAGCUAAAUAUUGGCCAGAGACCGAUAGCGCACAAGUAGAGUGAUCGAAAGAUGAAAAGCACUUUGGAAAGAGAGUUAAACAGUACGUGAAAUUGUUGAAAGGGAAGCGCUUGCAACCAGACUUGCGGGUCGUUGAUCAUCCGGGGUUCUCCCCGGUGCACUCGGCGGCUCUCAGGCCAGCAUCGGUUUGGGUGGUGGGAUAAAGGCCUUGGGAAUGUGGCUCUCUUCGGGGAGUGUUAUAGCCCAAGGUGCAAUGCCGCCUACCUGGACCGAGGACCGCGCUUCGGCUAGGAUGCUGGCGUAAUGGUUGUAAGCGACCCGUCUUGAAACACGGACCAAGGAGUCUAACAUCUAUGCGAGUGUUUGGGUGUCAAACCCAUACGCGUAAUUAACGUGAACGGAGGUAUGAACCCUUAAGGGUGCAAUAUCGACCGAUCCUGAUGUCUUCGGAUGGAUUUGAGUAAGAGCAUAGCUGUUGGGACCCGAAAGAUGGUGAACUAUGCCUGAAUAGGGUGAAGCCAGAGGAAACUCUGGUGGAGGCUCGCAGCGGUUCUGACGUGCAAAUCGAUCGUCAAAUUUGGGUAUAGGGGCGAAAGACUAAUCGAACCAUUAAGGACACUACUAGGUGGUUUAGAGGCCGCUGAGACGGCGUGCCUAGUCCCGCAAGGGGCGACAUUGUCAAAUUGUUCGGGGACAUCCUGUAAGUCUCACGCUACCGCAGCAGUGCUGAAAAGCCUGCGCGCACCGGGUUAACGACCCUGGGGACGGUAAUAACGCGUGGGUAGGGACGAUCCGCAGCCAGCCCCUAAGGCCUUAUAAGGCUACGGGGAGGGUUCACAGACUUAACGACAGUGGGCUCUCAGAGCUUAAGAUAAAGUCGAACCCCCGGGAGACCGGGCGGCGGUUAGCAGCCGCCGGGGCCUCUACAGGCCUGGGUAAAAGCUAGUAGCUGGUUCCUGC
rnacentral:misc_RNA from 1 species